UUCACAGUGGCUAAGUUCUUCAC
rnacentral:miRNA from 1 species